GUGGUCUUUGGCGGUGGCUGCAGCGUGGCGUUUGCCUGUCUGUACACUGCAGCCAGCCAAUAGAGACCUACAUUAUAACAGGCGAGACAUGUCGGACCUGGCAGUUUCAGGUGUGAGCAUGCACUCAGUCUUCUGCUGCUCAUGUAUAAUUCUGCAAACAAAA
rnacentral:snoRNA from 10 species